CUCAUCUCUCAUCUCUCACCUUCUGCCUUCUCCGUCUCCUCCUACUUCCGUCCGCAGCGUCGCUGGCGUGUGAGUGUGCGAGAGUUCCGCCCGACGCUUCUCUGCCAACCUUUGCCGAUGUGGGUGUUUCUUAUUCGUGUGGUCGCCGUCGUUGCUUUGUCUGCUAUGGCUGUGUGUAACCUGUUGCCUCCCUCAUCUUGCUCUGUCUCUCAUCAUCGAAGCCUCUUCCUUCUGAUCUGUCCGAGUAACUACAAGGGUGCCGAAGAACAGGGGAGAUGUGGCUAUUGUCCUGGGAGUUUGAUUCUGAAACUUCCUCCUUCUUUUAUGCUGUAAAUUUCAUUCCCUCUCUGCUAUUGUAAAUAGAGGAUUUAAAGAGCAAACAUUGUUGCAAGAGGACCGAUUAGGGAUAGAGAAUGUCUCAGAUAGUGUAGCUGACACUAAACCAUCCGCCAAAUAUUGAGGAGUCUAUUACUGACUAAAGGUGGACGAGUUAAGAAUUAAGUAUUCUUUUGAUGUAAUGUUUUAAAUUAUGAAGUUUUAUUUUGUAAGCUUAGUUUAGGUGCUCCACAUAG